CCUUGGCCACCACCUUUGGGGAUGGGGCAACCAACUUCCAGCCCUUGGCCACCUCCUCCAGGGCUGGGGCAACCAACUUCCACCCCUGGCCACCUUCUCCAGGGCUGGGCCGCUGGGAAGGUGCAGCCCCACCGGCCUCGGGGGUAAGUAGGGACAAAAACCCCACCCUUGGCCACCUUCUCCAGGGCCAGGACAAGGAACAUCCAGCCCUUCUCCAGGGCUGGGACGCUGGGAAGGUGCAGCUCCAGCAGCCCCAAGGAUCGGGGGUUGGAUCUGAGCCCCCAAAACACGAAGCACAACUCCAAAAGGAAUUUGGGGAGGGGGAAUCGGUGAUGCCAGAGCAGGAGAAGAGGGUGGGGGGACAAACUGCCAACAAAGCAAAUCCCCCUCUGUGAUGGGCCGGGCCCUGCUGACCCCCCCCCAACGCUGGGAACAGGGGGGGUGCCAGGCUCGGGGUCCCGCAAUUCCCAUCCCAAAUAUCCCGACUAAAACCUGGCUGCUUGGGGGAGGUCCCAGCCUGGGUCAGCACAACACGGCCGAACAUGCACGGGCAGCCCCGGGCACGGUCUGUGUGCCCGGGUAGCACACAGGAGGCCCUGAAAGGACAAAGAAAUACUCACAGACAAAAGGCAAUUUGGCCCCACUCCUCGGACUGGGGGGAGAGAAGCUCGCUCCAAACAUCUCGCACUUUUCGCAAAGCGGUGGGCGUGUCGAAAAAAAAAAA
rnacentral:lncRNA from 1 species